ACACGACUACAUUAGAUACCCCUGUAGUCCCAGCCGUAAACAAUGUGCGUUAGGUGUGUCGGUAACCACGCGUUACUGAUGCGCCGAAGAGAAAUCGUGAAACGCACCACCUGGGAAGUACGGUCGCAAGGCUGAAACUUAAAGGAAUUGGCGGGGAGCACCACAACAGGUGGAGCCUGCGGUUUAAUUGGAUUCAACGCCGGACAUCUCACCGGAUAAGACAGCUGAAUGAUUGUCAAUCUGAAGGUUUUACAUGACUAGCUG
rnacentral:rRNA from 1 species